CCUCCCGAUCCCAUCCGGAUCUCCAAGCUCCAGCGCGCUGCCACCUCCUGCCGACCGCCGCCCUCCCCGGCACAGCGCGCCGCCACCUCCUGCCGACCGCUGCCCUCCCCGGCACCGCGCGCCGCCACGAGCGCCGGCAGCGCCUCCUGUAUGUCCACGACCCCCUUCCUACAGUCCUAGCCGCCCCUCUCUAUCUCCUCACAGAUCGCCGCUUAGGGUUCCGGCCUGCCGCUACCCCUUCCCGCGCUCCCUGCCACCUCCCCUACAUCUCAACCGCCGGCCCACCACUCCUCCGUCGACCUCCCUCAAUCUUUUGUCUAGGGUUCCCCGCCUUCGUCGGCGCCGGCGCCGGCGCCAUCGCAGAACCCCAGGGCAUGUCAGAACUCCAAGCAGGUGGGGUGGUGCUUGCAUGGAUUCGCCGCACGCCGCUGCCGCCGCGGAUCCCCAGGGUCGCCGCCGCGGCCGCCUCCGCCGCUGAUCCUGACGGAUGAAGUAGACGCCGGCGAAAAGGGUAGGGCGUGGCCGACGAGGAGCAGCAGCCCGAUUUGUGCAUGAUUGGCGGCAAAUUUGCUGCAGCUGGCCCCUUAUCCUCUCCUCCCCAAUUGAACUCAGGCCUGAUGCGAUGAGUUAAAUACAGAGUGAUGGGGAGAUUUUUGUGUGUGACUAGGUGAUGCCCUUUGAUGUGCUGCUUCUACGAAUGCCUAUAUAGAGAGUGGAGGGUGUCUAAUGUUGUUGCUGCUAAUGCCUACACACAGAGAGAUAGAGGUGUGGUGCUAGCUAUAUUGUUGUGACGGAAAACAUUGGGAUCUAACAUAAGUACCCGCGCAGGCAUUGCAUUGGUUGAAUCUACUUCCAACUGAAAAUGGUCACCGGCAAGCAGGUGGAUUCACAACUUGGUGGAUGGAAUUUCAAGGCACACUGUUCAGAUUUGGUGUAGGGCAUGAACAGAGCCUUGAUUGCUCGAAUGGGCUGGGACCAGAUUGUUGUUUUACUGGUCAGUUAAUUCAUCGCAAACUAGAGGUACAGGUGAUCUGAUGUCAGAUUGUUCACACAACGAUGUCCUUGCCACUUCUGUAGCUCUUUGUGUGAAUCAUUUAGUUCAUCAGCAGUCAGGCUUUUUAAAUUUCAGAUGAAGCCACUGUCCGCCCCCAUAUAGUUGCAUAAACAAGAAAACGACAACCAGAGCUACGCCGGUACUAGGAACACCUUGGAUUCGUUUCUCAAGUUGAGCCCUGUGCUCUGACAAUAUGUGGCUUCUAUCUUGUUGUGCAGGUAUCAAACUACUCCCAGGAGAGGUUCUAUGCCAUCUUGAGCAAAUAAUUGAGAAAAACCCACUAAGGAUACAGGGAGAUGAACGAUGUGGAUACGAAGAAGCACUGAGAUCUGCUUUUCAGCAUUAGAUGGUUCGGGAGAAUAGAUGACACGCGAGGUCCAACGGCGAGUAAGCAAUCCCGUUGAUGGGAUUCCCAUGGAGGAUGUUGCCUUGCUGGCGGUUGUUGUGCUCAUGUGGUCCUCUCAUGUUGCAGCAGCCAACUGCGAUGAUUCACUGAUCUUGCUCGCCCGUGGUAAGGAGCCUGCGGCACUCAGGUCUCAACUAAUCACAAGUCAUGCAGAAGCAUUCCUUGACAGCUGCAUGAUCAAGAAUAUCAAACAGACAGCGUCACUGCACUUUUUUGGUGUAAAUUCUUGACAUAUAGUUUUAUGUGCUCCAUGCAAGUUAAGAGACUCUCAAGAGUUGCAUACUUGCAUAUACUGUAGUGAACCACACACAUGACUAGGAGAGGAGGGGAAGAAGAGGAUGCAUCCUGAAGAGGUCGAGAAGCUUGCGGAGGCGGGAAGAUCAGGCACAUGUAUCAUUGUACAGGAUUGUAGAGAUUUUAAAAUUAAUUAUUUGAUGGAUGGGCUUUGAUAGCCAAACUGAAUGGCUCCGCAGACUAGCGGGUGCACUAAAUUGGUGCACUGGAUGCUAAUUUCCAAGGCAACACCAAUAUGAGCAUAAGGACCAUCAAAUGUAUCACGUAUGAUUUGUUCAAGGAAUACUAGACUAUCCUCCCCGCAGAAAGGACUGUUAGAGGUUUCAUGUUGCAUUGCUUCUAGACGGCAAGUCGGACCAAUUGUUGAGAUUUAUGUGAAUAACCAUUCUGGUAAGAAGUUCGCGCAGAGUGUUUCAGAUGGUUGCAUGGGCCAUUCUUGUUUUUUUUGGAGUUUUCUUGACUCUAUGCCUUGCAAACAUAGUGGGGGUUCAACAAAGGCAUGCAUACUUACAUUUUGGAGCAGUGAGCUAAGUCAGAUCAGCUUGGAUUUUCAGUCAGAAAGUUUUCCCCCUAUAUCUGCAACCACAUAAUACAAUCAUCUACUAUUUUUUUUCAACCCUCAUUUAAGCAUAUCGCAUUCCCCUUUCCUUUUA